ACAGCGCAUGAUGAUUUCCCCAAAAUCUUACCGUUUUCCAGGGAUGCUCUGGCUGAACCUGACGGUCUGUGCCACUUGCAUCGCACCGUUCUUCUGCUGCAAUAAUGG
rnacentral:lncRNA from 1 species